rnacentral:snoRNA from 1 species
AAGCCAAUUAGUCUGCUCAUCUGAAUGUGUUUCUGCAGAAAUUUAGAAACAGCUGGUAAUAGUGAUGCUGUUUAUGAGCCUUAAGGACAACCAAGGUCAUUACAGUCCCCCCCCCAAAUGUCUACAAUA